AAAGAGGUUAAUGGAUACUAGGUAUUUGCUACAUACUUUGUUAAAAGUUCAAUUCUUUUAAACUUCU
rnacentral:tRNA from 1 species